CUUCCCUGGCUUAUGGUCAGCAUGAAAGACUUGCUCUCUCUCGGUGACUUCUCUGCUUUCCUUCAGCCCCCAGUCACUCCUCACUCCAAGUCUUGGUCUUCCUUUGCUAUGGGAAAGGCUGUUUUUAGAUUUUAAAAAUGCCCACCCACACUUCUCUUUGUUCCCCAUUUCUGGACUGCUUGGGUUGUGACUCUCAGAGUCUUGGUUUGUUUUUCUCUCUCCAGGUGGGAAAAGAGGGAAACUUGAAAGCGUUUCCAGUUUUUGCCGUUUGUGUCAUUGCUCUGAUUUCUGUUUUCUCCGAACAGCCUUCAAGCUCUCCUGUGAAGGCAGCACGUUAGUGAGGAUUGACUCCUCUCACUGAAGCGUACAAACACAAGCAUGAUUUACCAAUGUUCAGUUCUGAUCUGGGGAGAGAAACGUGUUCAUGAGUGGGACUAACGACUGACUGGCUUUGUGUCUUCAACAGGAAAACAUUCUUCAGGUGGAGGAAGCCAUUCUCUGAACACAACAACAGGAAAGAGAAAGAACCGAAGAGUGUAAAAAGCACGUUGUCAUGGGGCACAUGGAAUUCUAUUCCAAGAGCACUCAAGGUGUUGAAUGAACCAGAAACCAAUGCAGGAGAACCUGAGGGCAUCCUGAGUAGACGUGAGGGAAGCAGAAGGUAGCUCACCUUCUGCAGAAAUGGAAAACACUAAAUUCUUUUCAACACCCCACAGACAGUUCUGGUUUCCUCUCUCUGUUAAUCCAUGUCCAUGCUGUCUGCCUAGUUCCAAGUAAGCAAUUCUACACACUCUCUUAUCAGGCUGAAGGUUUUCCUUCCUGCCUCCUGCCCCUCAGAAAACAACAGACGGGGUGCAUGGUGUGAACACAGGUAGCUGUGGGCAUGCCCCUGGAAACUGAUGGCAUGGCAGACAUUGGCACAGACAGAUGUGCAGCACUCAGCUGAGCUCCAGGAGGAAGUCCCACAGAUCAG